rnacentral:misc_RNA from 1 species
GAUGAAGAACGUAGUGAAAUGCGAUAAGUAAUGCGAAUUGCAGAAUUCCAGUGAAUCAUCGAGUCUUUGAACGCACAUUGCGCCCCCUGGUAUUCCGGGGGGCAUGCCUGUCCGAGCGUCAUUGCUGCCCUCAAGCACGGCUUGUGUGUUGGGCCUCCGUCCUCCUCCCGGGGGACGGGCCCGAAAGGCAGCGGCGGCACCGCGUCCGGUCCUCGAGCGUAUGGGGCUUCGUCACCCGCUCUUGUAGGCCCGGCCGGCGCUUGCCGACACAUCAAUCUUUUUUCCAGGUUGACCUCGGAUCAGGUAGGGAUACCCGCUGAACUUAAGCAUAUCAAUAAGCGGAGGA